AUUGAACGCUGGCGGCAUGCUUUACACAUGCAAGUCGAACGGCAGCGGGGAGGAGCUUGCUUCUCUGCCGGCGAGUGGCGAACGGGUGAGUAAUACAUCGGAACGUGUCGAGAAGAGGGGGAUAACCACCCGAAAGGGUGGCUAAUACCGCAUAAAUUCUGAGGAAGAAAGCUGGGGACCUAGUAAUAGGCCUAGCGCUUUUUGAGCGGCCGAUGUCGGAUUAGCUAGUUGGUGAGGUAAAGGCUCACCAAGGCGAAGAUCUGUAGCGGGGCUGAGAGGAUGAUCCGCCACACUGGGACUGAGACACGGACCAGACUCCUACGGGAGGCAGCAGUGGGGAAUUUUGGACAAUGGGGGCAACCCUGAUCCAGCCAUGCCGCGUGUAUGAAGAAGGCCUUAGGGUUGUAAAGUACUUUUGUUAGGGAAGAAAAGUCAGCUGUGAAUAAUGGCUGAUACUGACGGUACCUAAAGAAUAAGCACCGGCUAACUACGUG
rnacentral:rRNA from 1 species